UAGCUAUUAUUAUAAUAAUUAUUAAAGACACUUCCCCUCAUUGGGAGGUCUUCAGAGGUUGGAUGACCCUGUGUCAGCAAGGUUGUUGAAGGGACUAUUGAUCAGGUACAGAUCUCUUCCACAAGAUCUUGGGAAAGAUCUGACUCCUAUCCUCAUGAAUUUUACAAUCUCACAGAGGGAUAACACGAACCAAAUUAUUAUACAAGAUUACUUUGCUUUCUAGCCUAACUUCUGCUUCUGACUUCCUUAUUUCCGUCAAUGACACCAUCUUGUAGUCUUCUGCUUACUCAGGCCGCCUAAUAUAGGGAAGUAGUUGGAAAUAUGGAAGUUAUACAAAGUGGAGUCAUCUUGUAGAGCACUUUGAAUGCCAAGGUAAAGACUCUGGAUUUUAUCCUGUAAGCAUAAGCGGGUCCGUCAGUCAUGUCCUCCCAGAUCAUUGAGUAUAAGUAAGAGAGAAGCUGAAAACCACAUUUGUUGCCCAUAGCCCAUGGGAAAAGGAAUGAAGGAAAGGGAUGUCCCCUCUCUAUCUCAGGUUCGGGUACUAGAAGCCAGGGAAAAUAAGGAAGAUCAGUUUCCCAGCUCACCAUUCCAAGAGAAGUCAUAAGAGUUGGUAGUCUCAGGAAUUCAGGAAUCUUCCCUCCUCUGAGCUCACUCCUGUCUUCCUCAUGUAAUCCCAGAAACUCAAGGCCAGUGGAAGGAUGCCAAGAUGCAAACUGUGGACCUUUGCAUGCAGAUUACGUCUCCCCUUUUCUGGCGCAUGGUUUCUUGUCCCCAAAGCACCUAUGCUGUCCCCUCUCUGUCCUAGAGGCAAUCAGGGCAAUCUUGCUUCUGAUGGAGUAUCUCACAAAUGUUUCUCUCUUUCUCUCUGUGGAAGACCUCCUGAGCUCCAGAGUCUUCAGAAAGAUGAAAAGAGGGGAAUGCAAGAGUACUAACUACAGAAGUCACCUGGGUAAAGGAGCUAAGGGAAAACAGGAGGAGUGUGUUUGGGUGGUAGGAAGAAAGAACAUGGAAAUGAAAAUGAAAUUGACUUAGAAAAAAAAACUUCACCAAAGUGGUAUUUUAGGAAGAUUAAUCCUGUAGCUGUGUACAAGGUCAUAGAAAGGGAAUAAGAAGAGAAAUUAGGGGAAGCUUGAGGUUCCAAGAAAGGAGCCAUCUUCCCUUCUGUCUACAGCAUCUGCUGUUUCCAAUAGCUGCCAGUCCCUGCUGCUUUGGACCUGCCUCUCCUGUGCUCAUCUUUACCAUAUGUCUUGAAGUGCUGUGAAUUUGGGGAGCAUUAUGGAGCAAGACUUGGCUCCUCCUCUUCUAGCCCUAGCCAUCAGCAUAGUCUUCUGCUUUUGAGGCGUCUGCUACACCCCAACAUCCCCAACCUCCCAAAGGUAUGUCUCUUGCCAGCAUUUUGAUUAGCACCUUGGCCCUAAGCCAGCCACUGAGUGACCCAGUUGUUAGCAUUUAUAGAGCACUUUAGGGUGUGCAAAGCACUUUACCUUUGCUACCUCAUUUGGAUCUCACGACAACUUUGUGCUGUUAUUUUACCCAUUUUACAGAUGAGGAAACUGAAGCUGAUAGAGGUUAGGUUAAGUGAUUUGCCAGUGGUUACGCAGUUAAUCAGUGUUUAACUCAGAUCUUCCUGGCUCCAAAGCCAGCAGUCCUCUAACUACUGUUCCACUAGGUUGCCAAUUCCCCUCAAAGCAAUGGGAAGUUAAAUCAGAAAGAAAGGGAAUUGAUAAACUUAACCCUUCCCAGCAAAACAAAGAUCUAAGACAUCUCCUAAGGCCUCGGGAUGGAAA